rnacentral:rRNA from 1 species
ACACGGAGGGUGCAAGCGUUGUUCGGAAUCACUGGGCGUAAAGGGCGCGCAGGCGGUUUGGUAAGUCAGAUGUGAAAGCCCACGGCUCAACCGUGGAAGUGCAUUUGAAACUGCCAGACUUGAGUACCAGAGGGGAAAGUGGAAUUCCCGGUGUGGAGGUGAAAUUCGUAGAUAUCGGGAGGAAUACCGGUGGCGAAGGCGACUUUCUGGCUGGAUACUGACGCUGAGGCGCGAAAGCGUGGGGAGCAAACAGGAUUAGAAACCCUAGUAGUCC